rnacentral:rRNA from 1 species
AGAGUUUGAUCCUGGCUCAGAUUGAACGCUGGCGGCAUGCCUUACACAUGCAAGUCGAACGGUAGAGUAGCAAUACUUGAGAGUGGCGAACGGGUGAGUAAUAUAUCGGAACGUGCCCAAUCGUGGGGGAUAACGUAGCGAAAGUUACGCUAAUACCGCAUACGAUCUACGGAUGAAAGCGGGGGAUCGCAAGACCUCGCGCGAAUGGAGCGGCCGAUAUCAGAUUAGCUAGUUGGCGGGGUAAAAGCCCACCAAGGCAACGAUCUGUAGCUGGUCUGAGAGGACGACCAGCCACACUGGGACUGAGACACGGCCCAGACUCCUACGGGAGGCAGCAGUGGGGAAUUUUGGACAAUGGGCGCAAGCCUGAUCCAGCAAUGCCGCGUGCAGGACGAAGGCCUUCGGGUUGUAAACUGCUUUUGUACGGAACGAAACGGUCCUUUCUAAUACAGGGGGCUAAUGACGGUACCGUAAGAAUAAGCACCGGCUAACUACGUGCCAGCAGCCGCGGUAAUACGUAGGGUGCGAGCGUUAAUCGGAAUUACUGGGCGUAAAGCGUGCGCAGGCGGUUAUAUAAGACAGUUGUGAAAUCCCCGGGCUUAACCUGGGAACUGCAUCUGUGACUGUAUAGCUAGAGUACGGCAGAGGGGGAUGGAAUUCCUGGUGUAGCGGUGGAAUGCGCAGAUAUCAGGAGGAACACCGGUGGCGAAGGCGGGUCUCUGGGCAGUAACUGACGCUGAGGAGCGAAAGCGUGGGGAGCGAACAGGAUUAGAUACCCUGGUAGUCC